rnacentral:rRNA from 1 species
AGACAAGGGGACUUAUAAAUGCGUCGGUAAAAAGGACAGUUAUAGAAAUAACCUUCUAAAGCUAAAUCACUAUAUGAAGAGGUAGAAUUCACACAUAAUUUUAAAUAACAUAGAGCUUUUUAUCUAGAAGCUGUGAAAUCACUAAGUAAAACCAGGAUUAGAUACCCUGUUAUUAGUGACAUAAACUUUUUCCACCACCAGGGAACUACGGAUAUUCUUCUGAAACCCAAAGAGCUUGGCGGUACCUUAAAUCCUGUUAGGGGAACCUGUUCCAUAAUCGAUAAUCCGCGUAGGACCUGUCUUUCUUUUGACCUAGUCUGUAUACCGUCGUCGUCAGACAACUUUCAAGAAAAUAAAAGUUCUCUCCAAUAAAUUAUUUACAGACGUCAGAUCAAGGUGCAGCCAAUAAGAAAGUGAGAAAUGGGUUACAAUUUUAAAAUCAAAAUAUGGACUCAAAAUUGAAAUAAUUUUGACGAAGGCGGACUUAAAAGUAAUUCUGAUAAGAAUGUCAGGAUGAAUUAGGCUCUGAGGUGUGCACACAUCGCCCGUCGCUCUCGCUGAAAA